GGGAUAAGCGGAAGAAAUUCCGUCUAAUACCGCGUAAUAACUCCGAGAGGCAUCUCCUGGGGUUUAAAGGGUAACACCGGCUACGGAUGGCCAUGCGGCGCAUUAGCUAGUUGGCGGGGUAACGGCCCACCAAGGCGACGAUGCGUAGGGGUUCUGAGAGGAAGGUCCCCCACACUGGUACUGAGACACGGACCAGACUCCUACGGGAGGCAGCAGUGAGGAAUAUUGGUCAAUGGGCGCGAGCCUGAACCAGCCAAGUCGCGUGAGGGAAGACGGUCCUAUGGAUUGUAAACCUCUUUUGUCGGGGAGCAAAAGACGCCACGCGUGGCGUUCCGAGAGUACCCGAAGAAAAAGCAUCGGCUAACUCCGUGCCAGCAGCCGCGGUAAUACGGAGGAUGCGAGCGUUAUCCGGAUUUAUUGGGUUUAAAGGGUGCGCAGGCGGAAGAUCAAGUCAGCGGUAAAAUUGAGAGGCUCAACCUCUUCGAGCCGUUGAAACUGGUUUUCUUGAGUGAGCGAGAAGUAUGCGGAAUGCGUGGUGUAGCGGUGAAAUGCAUAGAUAUCACGCAGAACUCCGAUUGCGAAGGCAGCAUACCGGCGCUCAACUGACGCUCAUGCACGAAAGUGUGGGUAUCGAACAGGAUUAGAUACCCUGGUAGUCCACACAGUAAAC
rnacentral:rRNA from 1 species